rnacentral:misc_RNA from 1 species
GAUGAAGAUCGUAGCGAAAUGCGAUAAGUAAUGUGAAUUGCAGAAUUCAGUGAAUCAUCGAAUCUUUGAACGCACAUUGCGCCCGCCAGUAUUCUGGCGGGCAUGCCUGUUCGAGCGUCAUUUCAACCAUCAAGCCCCCGGGCUUGUGUUGGGGACCUGCGGCUGCCGCAGGCCCUGAAAAGCAGUGGCGGGCUCGCUGUCACACCGAGCGUAGUAGAUUUUAUCUCGCUCUGGGCGUGCUGCGGGUUCCGGCCGUUAAACCACCCUUUUAACCCAAGGUUGACCUCGGAUCAGGUAGGAAGACCCGCUGAACUUAAGCAUAUCAAUAAGCGGAGGA